AUAAGGUAUCAGAUAGUAACAGCUUAUUCUAAAAAUGUAAAUAAUUUCAUCUCUUGUACUCCCAUCAUAAAAAUCUUGUUUUAUCCAUGACACUGCAAUAGGGCAACUUUUGUGCCCUCUUUGACCUUUGUACCCUGCAGCCACUGUCUUGUGGAUCAGCUACGAACUUAUGAUCCAACAUGGGUGAAUCAAACACUCCGUUCAAGAGUACGAGCAUUUGGACAAAAGCACUCGUGUGGAAAAACUUGAGGGCUGAGGCCGGUGUUUGAGGACAACGUGUAUAUACACAAACAAACUGAAAAACUGAUUAGAGAGAGAAAGUGUGUGUGAAUAAUGAAGCAGAUUCACGAGGAGAAGCACAGUCAGAGACAAUCAACACUUAGGGAGAGGGGGACAGAAACAGCGAGACAGAGAGAGGGAGGUGGAAAGUAAUUGUGCGACAACAACCCAGUUCUCCCGAGCGUAUUACACUCACAAGUGAAUGCCAACGAUUCCGUACAUCCUUAUAUGAAACAUCGCUUUUAAUCAAGCUUAUUUUUAUCAUGAGUUAAACACAACCACUGCCAGCAUUCAUAAUGAGCACAUAUGAUCACACUUGGAAGUAUCAUCAUUCGUCGAAGCGGUCUCCUAUGCUUCACCAUUCGGGCGGUUUCUAGCAUCCCUCCUCAUUCUGGGCCGGUUCAGUUGAAAAAGACUGAAACCCUCAGUCCACUCAUCUCACACCCCUGCGCCUCUCCCUUUUUUCCCUUUCUCUUCUCCAGUCAUGAUGGGGUGACCUCUGCCUACCGCAAAACCCUUGUCACUCCAAUAACACCUCGCACUUUCGCGUGACAGGGUAUUCGCAAUACCUUGAAACAACAUGGUCAUUCUUUACAUUAGUACGUCCUUACCUCUUCCCCUGGAAUGCUCUCCCUUUCUCUGUCAAGCAGGCUCCGUUUACUAACGUUGAAACCACACCUGUAAUUUAAAGGAGAGAAACGUUAACGGAGUAUUUGAGGGGCUGAAAGAAUAGAAAUGAAAGGCAAGCUGAUUAAGAUACUGAUAACGAUGGGAG
rnacentral:lncRNA from 1 species